ensembl:rRNA 5S_rRNA 5S ribosomal RNA
AACUACAGCCAUACCACCCUGAAGUCACUGAAUUUCAUCUGAUCUACAAAGCUAAGUAGGGUUGGGCCUGGUUGGUACUUCAGUGGGAGACCACCUGAGAAUUCCAGAUGCUAUAGGCU